UGGACUAGAUGACCUCUUGAGGUCCAUUCCAAUUCUAUGAUUCUAUAUAAAGAGGGGAUUUGGAUACCUGUGAAUCUGUCCACUGUUUCCUGUCUAGGCUGGGAUUUUCAAAGGGAACUAGGGAAUUAGGUGCCUAGCUCUGACGGACCUACAAGUGGUUGAGUGCGUGCUUCUUAGAUGAUGAAGGGGUGGAAAGGAGUUUUUGUAAGUGGUUGAGUUUCUGUUGAACUGAUCAUUUAAUGGUGCUGAGCUGUAACAGUAUUGUUAAUGGUGUGUUAAUGGUCUAGAACUUGGCCAUUAAUCUUUUUAGUUAUUUAAACUGAGAUAAAUAGAUAAAGCAAAAUAAAUAAAAUAUUCCCUUAGGCCCCUUUGAAAACCUCAGCCUUAGUUUACGAUCAGGAGAUUAUUAGUAUUAUUUGCAUUCACCUAAUAUCAGAGACAUUGGGCCCAAUUCUUAUAACAGCAAGGCCCCUUUAUACCACUCUGGAAGUGUAAAGGAGCCUUACCAGAGGCAUAAAUCACGUUUCCACUUACUUUAGGGCCCCUUUGCACUAUCAGAGCAGUGUAAUAAGACCUAACCCAUCACUUCCAACUACAUCUGCACUAGGAAUACUGUGCCACUGUAGCACUUCGGUGUAGACACUUACUAUAGUGACAGAAGGGAUUCUUCCAUUUCUGCCAUAAAUCCAGCUGUCCAAAGGGUGGUAAGCAGGUCAAUGGAAGAAUUAUUCCAUUGACCUAGGACUGUCCAGGUGGGGGUUUAGGUUGACUUAGCUAAGUCUCUCAGGGGUGUGAAUUUUUCACAUCUCUGAGUGAUGUAGCUAGUAUAGGCCAGCUGUCUGUAAUCUGAGUACCUCAAUCCAUAUCUUCAAUUAAGUGGUUGGGCAUGUCAAUUCUUCACAAAGGUCAGCAAUGAAGGAAGACUUGCCAAAGAUCUGGCGCAUAUCAAAAGUAAUCAGCUUCCCCAACCUGGUAAAAAUACAAACCAAGAAUCAAGCUACUGCCCAAUAUCAUGCUUUCUGUGUGUCUCAAGGUCCUAGAUCACCUAAUUUUACAGCAAGUAGCACUGGAGGUGGAGAACAUCUUGAACAAGAAGCAAGCAAGCUUUCAAUAGGAUUGAAGCACAGGCAAUUGAAUACUUGAGAUAAUUAUAUUAAUCAAAAAUGAUUUUCAAAAAAAAUCUGAAAACAGGCGCUAUUUUGCUUGAUCUCACUGCAGCGUAUGAUAUGGUGUGGCACACAGGUCUACUUGUUAAAAUACAAAAAGUCCUCCCACCGUGGUUUACUGAUGCCAUCAAACUGCUACUCUGAGACAGACAGUUCAUGUUACACGUGAGUGAAAAAGCAAGUGCUUAGAAAAAACAGGUGAAUGGGUUACCCCAGCGGUAUGUUCUGGCCCCAAUCUAUACAUCAAUGACCUGCCACCAACCCAGUCACGGAAGUUCAUCUAUGCAGGCAACAUCUGCUGUGGGCUACAGGCUCUGACUUUCUCUGAGCUGGCGAAGGCCCUGAUUGACGAUGCUGCAGGAUUGUCUGACUGCUGCAAGACAUGGUGCCUUCAGCCUAGCACCAGCAAGACAGUUUCAAGCACAUUCCACCUGCACCAUGCCAAUGCUAAGAGGGAACUAAAAUGAAUGGCCAGAGACUGAAACAUAAAACAUAUCCAGUUUACUUAGGCAUGACCCUCGACUGAACACUGACAUACAAAAGUCACUUAAGCAAGAUAGCAGUGAAGAUCAAGGCAUGCAAUAACCACCUCAGGCAGGAACUUUAUGGGGAGUGGAUGCUCCAAUACUAAGGACUCAGCCCUUGCCAUUUCGUACUCAAUAGCAGAGCUCUGUGUGACAGUAUGGAGUCGGUCGGCACACACCAAACUUGUUGAUGUGCAACUCAACUCAACAAUGCACAUCAUCACAGGAUGACUCUGACUGACUCAUCUUCCAUGGCUUCCAGUUCUGAGCCACAUUGCUCCAUCCCUUUUAAUCAGGUGGGAGGUUACAGUUGAAAAGCUGCUUGAGAAGGAUCCAAAGUAAAGAGAUGUCGUGAGGAAUUUGGUCUUCAACCACGGAGAUCAUUGUACACUUAUCAGAAUGAAGUAUUAUUGAAGCAGGGAACUUGAGAGAAGACAGACUUACCCCUAAUGCAUUCACACCAAACUCUGUCUUUAACACAAAGCCAGCAGUAGAAAACAAACUUUGGCUUUGAUAAUUAAAGUUUAUUAUCGCUGCUGAAAUAAAAGUUUUGUUGUAUAAGAAAUAGAUAAAUAAAGCAAGGCUGCAUUAACAUCA